rnacentral:tRNA from 1 species
GGCCCCGUAGCUCAACUGGAUAGAGCAAUGGAUUUCGAUUCCAUAGGCUGGGAGUUCGAAUCUCUCCGGGGUCG